UUCACUAAAUGAUCAUCAGCUGUUUGAAGAAGACUUGAAACUAGAGACUGAGACAGAAACUCCUGAAUGUUCACUGAUGUUAUAAAGUGAGGAGUCGCCCCCUGCUGGUCAGAGAGAGAACACAUUUCAGGGUGUGAUGUGUAUAAAAUUGCUGAGACAGAGACUCUGAGCAUCUGGAGAACGCUGGGCUGACAAUACAUAAGACUUCCUGAAGUUUUCACACACACGCACACACACACACACACACACACACACACACACACACACACACACACACCAGAAAUAGCUCUAAGGGAGGAAAUGCUGCAUCCUGACGAUAACAUAAAGAUUCACAACAAGCAGCCAAACGCUCCUGCAACGUUUACGACAAGUCAACACGACAACAACAUACAUAUUUAAUUUACAUGAAUUACUCAUCAGGGAAGGGAUGUUUUUAAAAACUGUUCACAGAUCAGAGUUUCUUUAUAUCAGAGUUUAGAAAGAUGUUUGUUCACGAUGCACUCGAGUCACAGCGACACAGAAAGCAUGAACUCUAGUGGACGAGGCUCAGAGAUCUGCAGCUGGACGAGGUAACACAAGCUUCACUGGUCGAGUUACAAAGUCAAACACUGUCACUUACGUCAAUCUGCUGGAGAGGGAGAGAGAGAGAGAGAGAGAGAGAGACAGAGAGAGAGAGAGAGAGAGAGAGAGAGAGAGAGAGAGAGAACUCCUCAUCUCGCAAUCAUAAAUCAUCUCUGUGGAUCUUUGCUCCUGAAGAUCAGUGUUGAACAACUUAACACUACAUUUCCUUCAGUAUCAAUAAAGUAGUCAAGCUCAGGUUGUUAAUCCUCGAAAACAACGAGAAGGCUUCACUUUGAAAAUAUGACUCAUCCAAGCUCCGCCCCCAGAACAGUGUUUCUGAUCAGAUCUGAUCCGCUGCAGACUGUAACUGUGCAAGAUGGCAGCGUUUGUCUUGAGGAGGUUUAGGACGAGGAGACACGUCGUCCAUCUUUAUUGACACACAUGGUCGAUGCCUGCUGUGGAUUGGACGGAUGCUGCAGUCACAGUAUUAAGAGCGAUGAUCUAUUCUCAGAUCCACUGACUGUCACGCCCAGGGUUAAACCAAAUAAACUAGGAAGUGGAUGCAGGACACGCAGUAAAGAAAGAGACGCCUCGGAGACAUGAGGUAACCAGACGUCCCCUGACUGCGCCCACAUGUCAAACAACCGACCGACCGCUCUCAGCUUUCUAUAAUCCUCCAUGUGUGAAGGUGUUGUGUGCUUGAGAUCCGUGGACGGAGAGAACAACUCGUCUUGUUAAAUGUCCUCCGGUGGCUCAGUGAGGACGUUUGCAGAAUUUAACAUCAGGGAUCAACUCUCCACGCCGAGUCCACGUAUGACUUCCUGUCAGGAAAUCCCUCGGCCACAGCAGGAAACAAUGUGACGGAAUAAAAACUCCAACAGACAGAAAUAUGAACAAUGGAGCAUCCAAGAAACUGUGUCCCGAAAGAACUGGACAAUCAUAUCACCACAGUGCAUCGUUCAUUCCACCCGGAGACCAAAAUAUCUGUUUGUGCAGGAAACAAAGACAAAACGGGAGAUUUUAUAGUUUAAAUCUGAACUAAUGUUUUCAUCUGAUGAUGGGGACAAGUUUUUACCUCAUGAAAUGUCCUCCAAGUUGUUGAGACGUUCCUCUGAGAACAGACUUCAGACGUGGAGCUGGUGAAUUCAUCCUCUGGAGAAACGUUGUCAUGAAACGAUUCCAGCUUAUGAACGAUCUACAGCAUCCAAAAUGGCAGAGAUCCCUUUGUUCACUGUGGGAAACGUCAUAUUUAAACUUAAGAAUUUUCAAUACUCCACAAUAUGGUAUAUUAUAGAGUAUAUUAAUAUGUACAAUAUAUUGAGCUCGAGAAACUGCCUUUGUUUUCAGUUUGGAUUUUUCUAAAUGUGACAAACGGGAUCGUAACAGCUCCAAAAUUCAACUUUUCAAGUUUUAUUAUAUACUUAAAAGUUCUUCUUACAAAUUAAGACCAACAUCAACACAGAGUUCACAUUCUGCAGUUAAUAACAAACAGUACAAAUAACAGUUUAAAGGAGUGUUUCUUUAACAAUAACCCAAACAGUCAGUUCAUGUGACUGUUCACAACAUAAUGUACUUUAUACAUCGUCUGGCUGAUUCAGUGGAUAAAAAGCUUCCAACUGAAAUAAGCAGUAAACAAAAUCACACACGAGAACGAAAAAAUACCAAAAUUAUGAUCACUGUCAUCGGCGUUGCCCCGGUGACGACGGCUCAAGUCUGGAUCCUGUAUUGCUGAGAAUUAUUUGGAAUUGAGCCAGAAAAACAUCUAAAACCAAGUAAUUAAUACAAAUAGUACAAACCUGGGUUAUAUAGAGUCUAUAUACAAAUCUACACAUUUAGAAAAACAUAUUUAGUGUUAAAAAUGUACAGCACGAGGAGCCAAUCCUCUGUAAUAAAGAAACGAAUAUCAAAAGUACAAUGUGUAGGAUUGAGUGGCCUCUAGUGGUGAAGGUUCAUAUUGCAACCACCUGAACAGCCCUUCCCUUCCAGCUGCUGUAGAAUCUACAGCAGCUGUCAGGUGACUGCGGCCGACACUCGAUGAUAAGCUCAACGACUUCGACUGAUUCAAUGUCGAUCACGUUUUUCAGUGCACAACAAUCGCAACCAGUUGACGGCACCGACAGUCCACUUCCAUGUUAGCAUUUAAUCACGCUUAAGUUUCCCAAGUCUGUGGAAUCGCAGCCAGAAAUCGUUAGUUUUUUCCUCCAGUCUGCGAGUUCUCACAGACGUUGCUUCACAGACUGGGUUCACGUUACGUCUCUAAACGUAAACCAUGAAACGCCUUCUUAAGAACCAGUGUUUCUGGUGUGUCCGUUCUGGGCUACCGUAGAAACAUGGUGGCCUUGGUGGAAAGUUCAGUCUCGGGUGACGACUAACCCGAUGACUCCGAGGCUACGUCCAGACGACUUCAUUAAAACCAUCUCAGUCCACGAGCGUUUUGGUUCCGUGUCAGUUUUCAUCUCCGUCCAUACGAACACGCUGAAAACACACGUGACCGAUCACCUACACUGAGCCUGUGAGCGCCCGAGCAAACAGGAAGCUUUGGGUUGUGUAAACAUGUAAACAGCUGGAUCUUCUAUAUACAGAGUUCAAGCUUCUCAGUUUUAAUUUGUGUUUUAAACGUUGUCAUGUGGAUACAGGUUACAUCAUAAUUAAUAUUUUGUUUCAUGAAUCCUGCACCUUGUGAACAUGAAGAUUCUUUUACACAAACUUUUUAUCUCAUCUGCAGGAAACAACUUAUUCCACUUGUGUAGCGUCAAAAUGCACCGAAGAGCUUCAGGUCACAUGAUUACAGCUCAAGAUGCAGCAGGAAGAAUAUUGUUUGUUCCUUGUCUGCAUCUGUUAAUUGAACCUUAAUUAACAGACUGUUAAUUAAAUCCUAAUUGGCAGCUAUUAUAAGUCACUGAAGAUAUUACAGUUAUUAAAAUGAUUGUAAACCUUAAGGCAGGAAGAUGAAGGCACAUGUUAUUAUUACAAAAUGAUACAGGAAUAUUAAACCUUUAGAAUAAGAAGAUAGAAAAGUGUCCAAUUCUUCAUAAUCUGUUUAAUCCUCCUUCGGUUUCUGUGUGUUACGAUAUUAAAGACUGGAAAUCAACUGGUUUACACGUUAAGUUCGUUCUGAGAUCGACCGUCUGUCGAGGAAAAAGCUGCUUCGCAAAUCUGCUCUUUAAACGUUUCUUUUUCGCGCCCAAAGCAAAAAAACUCAAACUUUUAACACAGUUUUAUCAGAAGUUUGAGAUUUCUGAAGUAUGACGACCACACGAGGAAGAAACGUCAGUAA